rnacentral:lncRNA from 1 species
GGGUGUCCACGGCAUCGUUGGGGUUAAGCCACUUAGCCAUGGAGGCAAGUGAAUGCGCAAUAAGGGAUCUCUAACCUUCAAACCGUUUGGGGGAGAAUACUCUAUGAUAUGAUUUAGAAUCUCUGGCCAGAGUAUGAAUGAGAUUUAGGAAAGUCGUUCCAAAUCACAUUCAAGGUAAUCAUAUAAGCACACAAAUCACAUUGGAUAGUAGACAUGAAUAAACUAUCAAACCAAACAAUGUGGUCAAGAGUAUUGUAUUAGAGAAAGACCGUAUUGCAUUUGUAAUCCUAAACUGAAUAGGUUCUCUACCUCUUCUGAUUAGCUUGGGUAACCAUGAUAUGCUGCUAGGUGUCACUCUUGGUUUGUGGAAGCCCUAAACGUAUAUAAUCACUAAAGGGAGAAUUGAAAGUAAGUUUCAAUUCACAAUCGAUGUGAAAUGGUUUUAAUCGCCCACUGCCUCGCUAAAAGGAACCUAAUGGAUCGUACACCAUGUAAGGUGGAGAUUGAAGAAACAAUGGAGAUGAUUAAGAAUAAUUAAAUGGUUUAAUUAUUUAUGGCAAGGAUUAAUUAAUAUGUUAAUUAAUAAAACGAAUAAGUUCGUUAAAGACCUCGGGAUAGUUUUGGACCUUAAGGCCCAAUGGGCUUCGAACGUCAAGCCCAUUGACUUCAGUUGUAUGACAAUUUAAUGAAUAAAGAUUCACAAAGGCCCAAAAGCCCAUAUGCCUUAUAUGGCCGGCCAUGUAUGUUGAAUUAGGGUUUUUGGUUCUUUAGGUCAUUUAAAGAAGUGACUAUAUAAAGAACUUUAUAGCCUAAAAUUGAUUAAGGGUUCUUUUGGAGAAAAUUAGAGAGAACAUGUCUCUCCUUUUCUCUCUAGGAGGCCGG